AUGUAGGUCAAUCUGUCUUUAAGUAGGAGUAAAUUACUCUUAAAGAAAAAAAAAGGAAUCCUAGAUAGUGUCAAGUGUCUUGU
rnacentral:pre_miRNA from 1 species